AGCGAACGCUGGCGGCAGGCCUAACACAUGCAAGUCGAACGAACUCUUCGGAGUUAGUGGCGGACGGGUGAGUAACACGUGGGAACGUGCCUUUAGGUUCGGAAUAACUCAGGGAAACUUGUGCUAAUACCGAAUGUGCCCUUCGGGGGAAAGAUUUAUCGCCUUUAGAGCGGCCCGCGUCUGAUUAGCUUGUUGGUGGGGUAAUGGCCCACCAAGGCGACGAUCAGUAGCUGGUCUGAGAGGAUGACCAGCCACAUUGGGACUGGGACACGGCCCAAACUCCUACGGGAGGCAGCAGUGGGGAAUCUUGCGCAAUGGGCGAAAGCCUGACGCAGCCAUGCCGCGUGGAUGAUGAAGGUCUUAGGAUUGUAAAAUCCUUUCACCGGUGAAGAUAAUGACUGUAGCCGGAGAAGAAGCCCCGGCUAACUUCGUGCCAGCCGCCGCUGUAA
rnacentral:rRNA from 1 species